AGUUCAGUCCAGUUUGCUCCAACACAGUCACGUGUUUUUUGUAUCUGUGACGGCGUAUCUUUGUAUCUUUGCGGCAAGCUUCUUGGCUGAGUCAGCUAAAGCAGCAACCAUUAGUUGUGAGCACAUUUUGUGUAUGCUGCCAUUAGUUUUUUCUCUUCUUCUGUCCCUGCAGAUACAGAUAUACAUAAUUGGUAGAACCCCCCCGCCUUGCGUUGGAAUAUCCAAGAACCAGACCGCAGCUGCAUUUCUUUGGAGCUAUUUGGUACCCGCCAGCGCACCCGCCCCCUCCCCAUUAGCCAGCACUUGGGUCAUGAUGACCCAGUUUCAGUUUCUCUAGGCCCGUUGCACUGCCGCUUUGGCCAAAAACCCUAUGAUUAGGUGCAGUCCAGUCGAAACUGGGCCUUCUCUUGACCACACAAAUCGAGACUCGGUAAACUGAGGCUCCUCUUAAACAGAAAUUGUAGCGGAAAUUGGCCGAAAAUAAAAUUCUGUCGCAGGCCAAGUGAAAUCGGAAAUGGAACACAACCCAUUACCAAAUAUUUCUGUUCGCCUUUCGGAAUCGUCAAUCAUCGCAUGUUGACACCAAAUGGGAAUCCUAAUUCAAUCAUUCGAACGGGAGUUUCAAUGGGAAAUUAUUUGAUAAUAGGUUCAAAAGAUCAAAAUGAUGCAAAAUGGAGUUUGAGACUCCAGGGUCCCGAAAUAUCCAUAUAAAACUGGAACACUAUGCAUUAACUGAAUCCAAAAUGAAACAUUCUUAUAGAGGUGCGAUUGAAAAUAUGGGAAAAAUGUUAAUUUUAAAGCCUUAUCCUUCGGAAAGAUAUGAUAAAUUUUUUCCAGGAGGAUUUUCAGCGCUGAUUUUUGUUACCUUGCUGACGAUUCCAACCUGAAUCCAUUGAAUGUAUUUCUUUGACAGUCAAAGCCCAUUUUAAAUAAAUCCACUUAGAUAUUCAUAGCCAUCUUUAAAGCAGGAAAUGCACGGAUUGUCGAUGGAUUCCAUUUGAAUGUCAUAUUUUCUGGGAUUUAUGAUGAAACAUAUAAUGGCUGAUGGCUGGCCAUUCUUUCUGGCCGCGUUUCUCUCUUCAUUUGGCCAGAAACCACCUGGUCAAUUGGCUCAGCCCCAAAGUGAUUGCAGCUGACUGAUUGAGGCUGCCUGCAGGUUGUCAGAUGCCAGUUGCCAUUGCUAGUUAAUUGAAUUUGCCGUCAGGUGGCAUUUAUUGGGGGGGCAGCUCCCCUGCUCCACAGGAAAUUGCACAGCUUGUCAGUUCAAUUAGACGGAAUUCGAUUUGCCCCAUUCCCGGUACAGUUUCCCAUGCAAGAUUCGUUUAGCAAUGAUGCAUUUUAAUUAUUCCAUCUCAGCGAGAGGAGUUUUACAUGCGCCAAGAAAAUCAGCCAAAUCCUAGGCAUAGGGCCCGAUACCCGCUGCUCUGGCCAUCAGCGCCGGAAUAUUGCUUUGCUCGUAGUUGCCACUGAAGUACUGGGCAUAGGGUCCCGAGGCAUACACCGCCACAUCAUCUCCUCCGUGGGUUUCUGCGUCCAAGGGCGCCAGCGUGGGAUACUGAUAGUCUGAGUCCGCAACCAACUUCUCCUUUAGAAGGGCACGUCCCUCAGCGCGAUUGUAGCCGGAGUAGUAGCCAGGUCCAUUGGCAUAGGACAAAAUCGUAUAGGGCAGAUUAUCAUCCGCCAGUUGAGCCAAUCCGGUGAUCUCCUGGUCACGAUACUGCCGGAAUUCAGAAAUCAUAAGUCAAAUACCUAUCGCUGUUAGAAAGGAAACUUUCAAGUACUCACAGGAUAACCAUUGAUGGACAUAACAUGAGCAUGAUCAGCGGUCACCACGAUCAGUGUGUCAUCCUCGGAGGUAAGUUCGCGAGCCUUCUGGACAGCCCUCGCAAACUCGGCGGUAUCCUCGAGGGAUCUCUUGGCGAAGGUAUCGUGGUGGGCCAUGUCGAUACGAGCACCCUCGACGAAGAGAAAGAAUCCCUUGUCAUUGCGGCUCAACACCGUGAUGGCAGCCUCCGUGAGCUCACUCAGCGAAGGAUCCGCCAACUGACUACGUUUCCUGUCCCGAUCACCGUUGUACGGCAGAUGAUCAUUGGCAAAGAGACCCAAUAGGUAGUCCGUAUUCUCGAGAUCCACCAGACUGAGUCCCUUGCGACUCCACACGUAUUUGGCUGAGACAUUGGCCUCCUUCUUCUGAUCCAACCAACUGCGGAUUAAGUGACGACCGUCGGUACGCUUGCCGGGAUAACCCUCCUCAUCAUUUACCGUUGCGUCGAUGAAGUUCUUGCGACCGCCUCCAAGGAUUACCUUCAGCUGCUGACCCACAGGCUGCUCCACGAGCUGACGGGCAAUAUCGAUGGUCUGCUCGGGAUCGCACUCCCUGUUGGCCACCUCCCAGUCGUUCUCCCAAUUGCGAUCCGCGAUGUGGGCAUAAACACCAGCUGGGGAUGCAUGAGUUACCCGGGCUGUAGUCACCAGACCUGCAUCCUUGCCAGCCGCCUGUGCCCAAUGCGCGAUGCUGAGCACCCGAUCCUCCUCGUUGGCGGCGCCAUCACAGCUGUACCUGGACACAUUGGCGUUAACGCCAAUCGUUCCAUAGUUCGCCUUCACACCGCCCAAAUAGGCGGUGGCCGUGCAAGCAGAAUCGGCCACCUGGCGGUUUACGCAGUAGGUCUUGGACAAGCCAGUGUAGGGAAAUCCCUCAAAGUACACCUGCUCCGCACUGUCGCCUAGCAGAUUCCUGGUGGCCGUGACCGUGUGAACGGACAUUCCAUCGCCCAGGAACAGAAUCACGUUCUUCGCCUUGUUUGUGGUCGCGGACUCCUGCUCGGCCAGCUUCGAUAACAGCUUCGCCUGGGCCUUAUCCACCCAGUACUGGGUCUGCUGCUCCUCUGCAUACUUGAUCGGAUGCGAUUCGGCAUCAAAGGAACGCCCACGAGGGUGGUCUGAAAAGAAUGGCAAAAUAGUUCAAUAAUUACUAUAACAAUAAGAGGUUUCCGAUAAGCCAAUAUAACUAUUAGCAUUGGUCAAAAAAUAGAAGGAUCAUAAAUAAUUUUGGGUUUGGAUUUUCUGUUAUAUAUCAAUGGGAUUAUUUGAGUCUUAUCUCCUCUACACAUUUUUUUCAAGUAAACUUGGAAGAUAAGAAGUUAUUUUAAAGAACUUAAUCUCAAAGUACCUCGUCCUGCACGCUGAAUCUCAAGUCAGCGCCAGUCAAAAUAACACAUCCUUUGGGAGGACAAACAUAAAAUCUGACAUGUUUUUAUACUCGUAGUUAUCUAAAUAGUUAAGCUGCUUGUAAAAUAAAUUCCCUGAACUGGCGUACAAAACAAAAUAAAUUCAAAUACCUAAACAUUUUCGAACUAUUCUAAAUAAAAACACUUUUGAGGUAUCGCUGAGUUCUAAAAUCCAGCUUCAGAGCACCUUACCUCUUUGUCCGCUGGCACUUCCGCUCAGGCAGACAGCUAAGACGAGCAACAGAAUGAAUCUCCUGGCCAUUUUCAGCUAAUCCCAGGCGUGGUGUGGAGGUCAGACCUUGGUUAAAGACUAAACCGACUGACCGACCAAGGAACUGGGCGCUGCCUCGGAGCUAUCGCUCAGUAUCAGAGUAAAUCUAAUCAAAGGAAACUAAUCUAGACGGUUCAAUCAAAUCAUCAUUUAUGGCUGGCCAAGUUUAAGUUGACAGAAGUCGUAGAACAGACCGAAACCGAUGCCAAAACACACUCACGUGCCUUUCUUAUGGCUUUGAUUCUCUGUCCAUUAACCGAUUGCGUAUACUACGACCUACGUAAUCAAUCUGAAGCCGGGGCAAUCCUGUUUGCCUCAACUUUUAAACAUUGCUAACUUAUUGCACUCAAAUUUAUUGAAUCAUGCCAGUAGCUUUGUUAAACGAUGAAGAAUAAAUGGUUUCACUGCUACUAGAAAACUUUAUGGUUCAAACUUUACGGCAAGCCCUUUAAUCCCACAUUUGAACCCUUGACCCCGGCAAUUAAUUGACUUCGAGUCUGCACAAUUGUAUAUGUAUUGUGUAAAUUGCAUACUUUUGGGCUAGGCUGCAACCACAAACUAAUACAAAAUAGUAGCUAUUAAAUUUAAGUACUUGGUUAUUUUUUAAUUCAACACUCUUUUUCACAGUAUCGUCUUAGCCAGUGCCACAAUCGAACCUGUAAACUUGAUGACCUAAAAAAGGGUUUCAUUAGUGGAUUGCACUAAGUGCCAUACAGAUUAUAACCCACCGAUGUGAAGACUGGUAACGAUGGUGCAAAAAAGGGCACCCUCACCGUAAUGGGUCGUUGAGCACGCAGGAUAAUGAGAAAGACCCGCCUGCGGGUCUCUCGAUCCCAAGUAUACCAGGCACUGCUGUAGGCUGCUUCUCCCAAGGAAAGGCUCUAGAAAUGAAAGAGGUCAAAGGUUAAUCAAGAGACUCGACCUGUCCCACCUCAGUUGACAUUUCUGUGCCUCCGUAGCAAUAGAGGAAGAUGGCCGAGGAAACCGUGAAGGUGUACACCACGUAACGGAUGAUGUUAUAGCCGGAAUACUAUAGAAACUAUUGGUUUGAGUUAGUGUGCUUAUCACUUAAAAGGACGGCUAUUACCAAUAGUAUAUCAAUGACGCUGGUGGCUAUCACUAAGCUGGCUGAUACGAAGUGAACAAAAGUUGGAGCAGCCAUAAUUCCAGAAAAUUCCUUGACUAUCUUCUCUAUCUCAUUGUGGCGAUCCACGAUGUCCGCCAAUCGCUGACAGCAGAUUUUGGAUUCCCUAAGCGAGGGAUCUAUUUAGAAAGUAUACACCCGAAUUUAAUGUUAGCCAUAUGCAUAAUGGACCAUCCACCUCUUAUUGGCUUGAGGGCAUCCUGGAUAUCGUAUCUUAAGGCCUGCAGCAAGAAGGCCAUGUAGAGGGUAAAGCCAAAGAAGAAACCAUCUGUACCAGCAAAGGCGUACACAGUGACCUGGCCACUCCAUGUGGAGUAGAGAUAGAAAACUGGAAACCAGGGCAUGCGAUGCGCAAAGUCGUGGAACCUGUGGAACAUCUAAUCAGAACAUCUAAUCCUCACUGACAUGCUACAACAUCACACACAGCAUGCGAAAGGGCAUAUCGAAUUUGAACUCCUGAUGACGACGCACCCACAUUUCCCAAAGGGAACGCAGAACGAAGGCUCCAGUGGUAAUGCUGCCCAGGGUGAAGACCAGCAUACCGCACCUGGUGACCAUGAGAUAGUAGCUCCUUUGAGCCACCUUUCUCCGGGAGUCCUCCCUCUUCUCCUGCUCCCCGAUGAGCAAGCGGAUGCGGUCCAUUAGAUCAGCUACUUCCUGGCGACGCCACCACAUCCAUCCCAGCUUGAAGAGCGUGGUGAAACUGCAGGCCAGAGGACAAAAGGCGUCCAUGGCAUCCACGGGACUGGUGCGCAAGUGACUCCAGCCGAAGACGAACUCCGCCUGGCAGCAGUGCGCCAGGUUAACGAAAUUGAACACCAGCCACAAGAGGUGAAGCCACGAUUGCUCUUUGCCAAAUCUCAGGCCCAGCAGGCCAAAGGAGUAUCUGGUGACGAAGAACAAAUGCUUGGCCAGCGGAUAGUUACGGCUGAGGAAUCGCGGAUACAUGAUUUUAACCGCUUACAGAACCCUUUCCUUAUAUAGCGCCCCAUUCAUACCUCCUAAUGGUUUAAUAAUUGUUUUGCAGUCCGAACAAACGACACCUGGUCGUGUUUAAUGACGGGAUUACUUGAAGGACAUAAUUGAGUGGGCGACGAUCUCUGACGUUCAAAACAUGUUAUUAUGGUAAUGAGCCAGCCCUUAUAAUUAAAAAAGGUUCCCUUAAUCCGUUGAUAUCGUUUGAUAUUUGUGAUUGCUACAACAGUUGAAGACAGCUGUCAAGCUCGUAAGUCAAAUCUGAAGAUAUUCUAAGGUAUUUCUAAGAUACAUUUGUUACAUAAGAAUCCUCUUC
ensembl:ncRNA asRNA:CR45281 antisense RNA:CR45281